AAAAUGUAUAAUGACGAUGACAUAAUCAAUGAAAGUGCAGUUUUUGUGUGAAAAAUGCAAACAACUAAUAUACACUCUAACUUUGGCCAGGGUUUGUGACCAAGUGGCUACUACAAAAGACUGGACAUACCCCAUUUUGAAUACCCUGGGUUGUCUACCUUUACAAAUGGUAUGCCAUGCUGGGGUUAAUUUUCAUUCCUGGACUGCCAUACAGUCCCAAAGGCAGCAUGCGCCCAGCAAACCAACCUGGCAAAUUUCAAUGUGUAAACAUUUUAAAGGGGAAAGCCCUAUAUUUGGCCCUGUAACUCUCCAAAACACCAUAAAACCUG